rnacentral:lncRNA from 1 species
AGCAGCCAUAGGGAACUAACACAGAGGAUUUGAAUGAGUGUCCAAAACCAAGCAAGUAAGAAAAUGCAAGGCAGUUAUUGACAUUGGGAAAAACUAAGUUGUAAAAAAGGAAACAAUCUGUAUAAUCCACCUGGUUCAGCAAAAUAAAUAAAAAGAAAGAAAGAAAGAAAAAAAAACACAGCAAAAAAAAAAGAGAGAGAGAAACCAAUAUUUAUGUGGCUGUAUAAUGUCAAGCAAUUAAUAUUAACCAAAAAAUAUGAUAAUAAUAAAUUGGCAGACUUUGGGGUUGGAAGGCAG